GAAUUCGAUUCAGGCCUAACACAUGCAAGUCGAGCGGGGUUUCCGGACCUAGCGAAGGACGGGUGAGUAAUGCGUAGGAAGCUACCCGAUAGAGGGGGAUACCAGUUGGAAACGACUGUUAAUACCGCAUAAUGUCUACGGACCAAAGUGUGGGACCUUCGGGCCACAUGCUAUCGGAUGCGCCUACGUGGGAUUAGCUAGUUGGUGAGGUAAUGGCUCACCAAGGCGACGAUCUCUAGCUGGUUUGAGAGGAUGAUCAGCCACACUGGAACUGAGGCACGGUCCAGACUCCUACGGGAGGCAGCAGUGGGGAAUAUUGGACAAUGGGCGCAAGCCUGAUCCAUCCAAGGGGCGUGUGUGAAGAAGGCCUUCGGG
rnacentral:rRNA from 1 species